CGUAGCUUUUUGUGUUUUCAUUAGAGGGUUUCGUGAAGACCUUUUGCUCAAUCAAGCCUGUAUAAUUUCUAUAAGGCUCUUUGCUUCACGUAAUCGCCUUAUUGAGAUUAUCUAUAUAUCUUGGUUUCUCGUCUAAAUUCAAGAUUUUCGUUCUAACCCUUUUGCCAAAGUCUUCAAUGUCAUCGUUGAGAAUAUUUUGAUAAAAGAUUAGGGAUUCUUGCAGAAGAAGAUGAACAAUCCUGAGAAUGAGAAUGAUGAUCAUGGUGAAGUUUUCCUUGAUGAGUCUGACAUUCUCCAGGAAAUUAAUGUAGAUGAUGAAGACCUUCCUGAUGUGGACGAUGAAGAGGGUGCCUCUGAAGCUGAAAUGGCUGAUGAGCCUGAUGAUUCUAUGCACAUAUUCACGGGUCAUACUGACAAGCUAUACUCGGUUGCUUGCAGCCCAACAGAUGCCUUGUUAGUAGCAACUGGGGGUGGAGAUGACAAAAGUUUUCUUUGGAAGAUCGGUCAAGGAGAUUGGGCUUUUGAGCUUCAAGGUCACAAGGAUUCUGAGUUUCUUGACAUCGUUGAGGCCAGUCGUACUGCUAAUUAAAGUCAAUCCUGAAGCCUCCACUCCAAUUUACUCGCUCCGUGGCCUCGACAACUUCAAGUUCUUCUCAUUGUCUUUCUACUGGUACUGGGAAGAAGAAGGAAAGCCAAUUACAUCACCAAGUCACAGGGUGUCAAACAUUUUCAAGUCAAUUUACCUAUUUUCAGGUCAGUAUAUUAUUCUCAAAUUCACUGAUGUUGUGUCAUGUCUUUUGAGCAUUUAUGUUGGAAUUUGUAUAAGUUAUGUGUUCAUUGUAUAAGUUGUUUGUCCAAAAAACUACAAGGCAAUUAUCAGCCAAAAAAUGGAGAAUUCAGUUGUACGUAGAUUCAAACCGAACAAUGAGUUCAAAGUACAAUCAGUUCACCAUUCAAGCAGUUGAACCAAUGGAAGAUUAGGCAGAAGUUGCCAUUUUUCUUUUACAGUAAUUUUAUUUUAUUUAGUGUUAAGACUUUUCUUGGUGCCGAGCUUCUUUCACUUUCUAUUGACUUGUUAUCUACGGAUUUACAUGGAGUAUCGUAUGCAAGUAUUUCAUGUACCCAAUUUUCUAGAAGUAAAUAAUAAGUAUCAUUUUAUUUUGAUUUAUAUA